AGCUCCAAUAGCGUAUAUUAAAGUUGUUGCAGUUAAAAAGCUCGUAGUUGAAUUUCUGGUACACUGCGCCUGGCCCGCUCCGGUUACGGACGCGAGUGCCGGUGCGCGGUUGCCAUCCUUCUAGGGAACGUGCCUACCCUUCAUUGGGUCGGGCCCGGAAUCUAGAUCUUUUACUUUGAAAAAUUAGAGUGUUUAAAGCAGGCUAGCGCUAUGAAUACAUUAGCAUGGAAUAAUGAUUUAGGACUUUGGUUCUAUUUUGUUGGUUAUAGGACUGAAGUAAUGAUUGAUAGGGAUAGUUGGGGGUGCUAGUAUUCAGCGGCCAGAGGUGAAAUUCUUGGAUUCGCUGAAGACUAACUUAUGCGAAAGCAUUCACCAAGGAUGUCUUCU
rnacentral:rRNA from 1 species